AUUAUUUCUGCCAGGGGAUUCCAGUAUAUAUUCAACAAAAACAUAUAAAUACUCUGGUUACGAUAUAAAUUUAGUUAUAAGUAAUUCAAAGAGCAUCAGAGUUGCAAUAAAUUACUUGCUCAAGAUUUUUAAAAAUCAUCAGAAAAAAUGUUGAGAAUAUUUUUUGUUUUUCUUGUAAUUAUGAUAAUAAAUAUACUCGCUGCAGAAGGAUGUGGGCAGUUUGGAGAAGCAUGCAGUGCGAAUCGACGUUGCUGUAAUUAUCUUCACUGUGACGCAGAUCCUGGUACAUGCAUUGGAAAUAUUUAAUCUAAGCGGCCAUAAAUUUUCUAUUUAUUAAAGUAUUUAUUGUUGAAAUUAUUUGAAAAUUGUAUUUAGUAAACGAGAAAAUUAAGAAUAAAAAUAAAAGUAAUUUAA